AGCGGCCCGCUCCGCCCGGCCCGCGUCCUCCCCGGUGCCCGGCCCCGCUGCCGGCCCUUACCUUGCAGCGGCCGGCUCUCCCCCGCCGCUAACGCUACUUAUCCCGGGAAAGCUCGAGCGGGCCCCGGGAGCGAACCCACAGACAAAAAGUGAAACUUCAGCAGCAGGCCGGGAGUGGCUGCUGGUUGGUGCUCUCCCCCUCCUUCCUCCCCACCCCCUCCCCGCGGUCUCCCGUGCGGUGCCCUGAGCGCUGGAGGCUGACGUCAGGGGCCUGAAUUCCUGACUUUGCCUGCACGCAUUUGUCCAUGUAAGGUAUGGGGAGGCGUGUGCCCGCGGGCCGCCGCACUAGCCGGACGGGGAGGGGGCGCGGGGGGCAGCGGCGGCUCGAGGUGGGUGACCCUGGGCAAUGCACUUCCUGGAGGAGGGGACGCGGGGGGAGGAGGGGGUACAGGGAGCAUGGGAAGAGGAAGGAAAAGAGGGAUCUGCCUCCACUGGAGGAAGAGGAAGGAGAUGCAGGAGGAAGUCGAGAAACCGGCACAACUCGGGUCUGUUCUGCAGACGACAGAUUGGAAAGCUGAGCUUGAGCAAAGAGAUCCUGCCAUGGAACACCCCACCCCCCACCCUAAGAGCCUCGUCGGAGCCCCGCCCAGGACUCCAGCAGGACUCAGAAGUCCGGGAUGGUAGAGAGCAACUUCAGUUCCCUUCGCACAGGAGAGCUCCGAAGCUGGGACCUGACCCAGUCCUGCCCCGUGGAGAGGAGCCAGUAUUCUACUCUUAGCUGGGUUUCCGCCUCCAGGCACGACCCGGCCUCUAACUGUGAGCUUAGACCCAAGUUAGAGCUAGGCAGAUGACUUGACCCACUGAAGUGACUAACCCCAGUUCCUGGAAGGUUGUGGUUGACAAGCCUUGAGAAACAAUGGCAAUCGAGUGCUUCAGGGCAACUUCCUGUCCUUUGUUCAAAGACAAGAACCUUUGGAGUUUAACUUUUGCUUCCCAACCCUGCCCUGCCGGAAAACCAACCAGAAAGCUUGCUCUGUUCUUACAGCUUAAAAAAAGAAAAUACACGAACUGGGUGAACUGGUUUGAAUAAAGACAAGCCUGUUCUUGGAAGGUUGGGUUUGGAUAUUUUGUGUUUGAUAUUUGUAAAAGUGAGCAACGAUGAGAACCCCUUUUACUAGGUUAAGAUUCCGGCUAGGAGACACUGGAAGCCCUCUGGCCCUCAGUAGUGAACGCUUUUCAUCCCGGCACAAGAGAGGUUUACAUAGACACUGUCACAAACUAACCAAAAACACAGAUUUGGGUGUGGGUGUGUGGGUGGGGGUGUGGGUGUUUCUAUCCUGUAUCCUUUGCUUUACCCCAGUCUCCCAAACAACUUCAACCCAUGCUAAUAACACAACCACCCAUUCUGGUCUUUGAUUGGGUUGGGUAGGAUCUAAGGAAAAUACCAUAACAUGACCUGCACAACACAGCUGUCUGAGCAUGCCCCUGACCUUCCCACUCUCAAGCCACCUUCCACCACCGUGGGCCCUCACCUUCUACAGCCUAACUCAGUCAUGCAGACAGAAAAAGUACACCAGGGACUUCAGGGGUGGGGACGCUCCAACGUGCCUCUUCUCCGGUUAUAUUUUGAUGAACCUUUCGGACUAAGUGUCAAAGUACGUACUCCUGUACUUAACAUGUAUUGAACAUUUCUCCGGCAGUCUUCAAAAUUCAAACACUUCUGGGGCCAAACUGCUUAACCCCUUUGCCCUCCCAAGUUUUCCAGCUACACACACUCAAAAGUAGGAUUACAGCAGGAGAGAACACGGGUACCUGUGCGUUCCACGGGAAACAGGCUCCCAGGGGUCCGGCUUUUUAAGAGAUCAGUGUAUUCACUCUACCCUAAGCAUUUCAGCCAAUGCGUGCCCUCUGUGCUACUGCAAUGGAAGUCAUCCAUUGCUCGUUUAGGUAUAACAGAACUUGACCAGCAUCCCUUGCUUCCUUUACUCCCUUCUCAGUAACCCACUUAUAAAGAAUAAUAGAGUUCUAAUGAGGAUUAAUAAAAUUUAAUAAGGUAUAA
rnacentral:lncRNA from 1 species